CAUUCAGGCUUUAAAAUCUUUGCCGUCGCUCUCAACGGUCCCUUUUGAAUCCGUCUGUCGGUCCAACACAUGCGGCUCUCCUCGGCAGUUUUCACUGAACUUGUUAAGAGAAGUUGUAACUACAAGGACACAAUACGAACUGUGCAAACAACACGUUAGCUGAGCGGUAGUUUGAGUCUGUAGCUAAAGUCUGCUAGCUAAAGUGUAGCGUUAGCAUUGUACAGACAGGCCUCGUGCAGCCACGUGGAGAAAACUGAGAAAUGGAAAAGAUGAAGGACAAGGUGGACUUGAGUGUGGCAGCUCUCUGCAUGAGUCUAAUGAGUGGUGUCCCUGCGAGGUCAGAAGAAUGGGUCCAUUCAAGAUGAUAAAGGCACAUUAAAGUCACACUGAGCUGAAAGAACUUGUGUUAGCGUGCUGCUCAUGCUCCCAACUGAACCAUCUGGCCUGAAGACAAUUGAUUCUGUGCAGGUUGGGUUUGUGAAGUAAGAAGAUUCAUCUGAAAGAAGGUGACUCAUUACUGGGUGCAGCUACAUCUGAGACAGACCUUGCAUCAUUCUGCCAGUCUGUUCCUGUCCCCUGAAGUCUGCUGUCGAGUGAAUUCACAGAAUCGGAUUGAGCAGUUGCGGAGACUCUGCCUCAGUCCAUCUGCAAGCCACAUGUGAUGACAGGAUGACUCAUGGGCACUGGUCUGAAGGUGGAUGUCGACAUGUGUUUUGAAAACUAUUUUACACUGUAAAAUGCAGUAUGAAUAAAUGUGUGGUAUGACUCCAAUAAAGUCAGGACAGCCUGAAUAACUGAAA